UUUAUUUUGCAUUUCAUGCAGCCACUAGGAGGCGUUUUUCUCUUGUAUUGUUGCACAAUAAAAUGGAUAUGGUCAAUAAAUAUUGUAUUUUCUUGCUACCUAUGGGUUGUAUUCUUAUUUGUUUUAUGUAGUUUAAAAAUAGAACUGAUUAGAAAAACAUGCUGAGAAUUUAUCCACAUUUCCUGGAAUUUCAGUGGCAAACACAUUAAUUUUCUAAUCUAAUAUCAUAUUGUUUCUUUGUUCUGUAUAGUCUAAAGUUUUGUUUAUAAUUUAUUGCUCAAUAAAACAAAUUCAUUUAAUUCCUUUUGAAGUGCGGGGUUCACCAAUGUUGAUAAGGGGAAAUGAAAUUAAAUUCUUUCAUAGCCUAGAAUUUGAUGAAUCAAACAUGGAAAUUUAUUUAUAUGAUUAUGGUUUUUGAUGGGCAUUAAAGUUGUAACUUCAUAAUCACAAUUUAUAAAAUAACAAUUGAAGCAUUAACUUAAAUUAUAAACCAAACUUUUUUUGCCAAAGCUGUCUAAAAACUUAAAUUGAUUUAUUUUUUUUAUUGUUAUUCAUAUAAUGGUCCGUUUUCGGCACGUUCAUGCCACUUGCGCAAACUAGAUUUGCACGUGCAAAUUUGUUCAUUUGGUCACUUUUGUUCAUUUUAAAUUGCACAAGUAGUUACAACAGUUGUAUUCUGAUGUGUAAUGACCAGUGAUUAGGGUGUGAGUUUGUGAGCAUAGAAACAUAAAAAUAAAGUAAAGCUAUGAAUCGGGAAGAAGAAGUACUUGCAGUAGCUGCCAUUUUAAUAAUCAAGAAGUUGAGAGAGCCAAAAAAGUGGAGAUCAAAUAAAUCUUGGAUUGAAAAGAGAGAAACUUACUCUCAUAUUAAUUUAAUUCGAGAAUUAGUUAAUCAGCCAGACGAUUUUCGUGAUUACCUGCGCAUGGACGAGACGACUUAUCGAAAUUUAUUACAUUUAGUUACACCAAUAAUACAAAAAACUGAUACUGUUAUGAUAAGUUCUAUCACGCCACAUGAAAGAUUAACGGCGACUUUAAUGUUUUAAGGCAACUGGUAGAACCUAUGAGGAUCUCAAGUUUUCUACAUGUAUUUCUGAAUCCGCCCUCAGCAAGAUAAUUCCUGAGACGUGCAAUGCCAUUUACACAGUAUUAAAACAAGAAUAUUUAAAGUUUCCUAAAACUACAGCUGAAUGGAAGAAUAUUGUGUUGGACUUUCAAGAGAAAUGGAAUUUUCCACAUUGUUUAGGUGCUGUAGACGGAAAGCACGUACAAAUUACAGUGCCCCCUGAAAGUGGCUCAUAUUACUUUAAUUAUAAAAAAACUUUUAGUAUUGUUUUGAUGGGCAUUGCAAAUGCUAACUAAGAAUUCAUAUACUACGAUAUAGGAUCAAACGGCAGAGUAUCUGACGGAGGAAGUAAACUAAAUUUACCGGCUUUAGAAGUAGUUGUACCAGGUCAACCUCCUUUAUAUUAUGUUUUUGUGGGAGACGAAGCUUUUGCAAUGAGACCCGACUUUUUGAAGCCAUAUAAUCAAACAGAGCUUAACAAUGUAAAAAGAAUAUUCAACUACCGUUUAUCUAGAGCUAGACGCAUUAUAGAAAACACCUUUGGAAUUUUGGCUAACCGUUUUAGAAUAUUCCAUACAUCCAUUAAUUUGAAACUGGAUAAUAUCGACAAAGUUGUUCUGGCAUGUUGUGCUCUUCACAAUUUUUUAAGGAGAAAUUCGGCUAACUCAUAUACACCUAAUGACGUAUUUGACUUUGAAGAUAUUUCAACUGGUACCACUACCCCUGGACUGCGGACACAACCUGAGAAUUUAUUAAAUCUCGCGGGCAGUCACAGUCGCCAUCACAGUGCCGAAGCAAAAGAUGUGAGGACAAGUUUUAAAAACUAUUUUAAUAGUAGUUAUGGUAGUGUAUCGUGACAACAUAAAAUGAUAUAUAAUCAAAAUAAUAACGCAAAUUAACUAGGUAUAGGUAUAAGUACAUAUUAUAUAGCUAAAUACAGCAGCCCUAUAUACUUAUACGAGUAUACUAUAACUAACAAUAAAUUGUAAAUGUUCUUAAAAAAAACGGUUAAAAAAGUUAAUAAAUGAAUGUGUUUUUA